UAAAUUGCCGCAGUAACUCUGACUGUGUAAAAGUAGCGAAAUCAAUCGUCAUUUAAUUGGUGACCAGUAUGAAAGGUUUAACAAAAGUUCCACUGUCUCUAUUUUUAAUCAGGUGAAAUUAAAGUAUUGGUUAAAAUUCCAAUUUGAAGCAAUUAGACGAGAAGUCCCCAUGCAACUUUACUGUUAAGUAUAAUAGAUUAUAUAUAUUUAAAUAAAAGAGAGGAGUAAGAGUAAAAAACAACAAUGGAAUACUUACUAUUAGAUAUAUAGAUCUCAUUUUUAAUUAAAGACAAUUAUAUCCAGACAGUUUAUUUGGGGCGAAUUUCUUCUAAAAGAUAACGAAGAA
rnacentral:rRNA from 1 species